AGGUAAGCUACUAAGAGCGAAUGGUGGAUGCCUUGACUGGUAAAGGCGAUGAAGGACGUACUAGACUGCGAUAAGCUACGGGGAGCUGUCAAGAAGCUUUGAUCCGUAGAUUUCCGAAUGGGGCAACCCAAUGUAUAGAGAUAUACAUUACCUAUAUAGGAGCGAACGAGGGGAAUUGAAACAUCUUAGUACCCUCAGGAAAAGAAAUCAAUAGAGAUUGCGUCAGUAGCGGCGAGCGAAAGCGCAAGAGGGCAAACCCAGUGCUUGCACUGGGGGUUGUAGGACUGCAAUGUGCAAGAGGUAAGUUUAGCAGAACAUUCUGGAAAGUAUAACCAUAGAGGGUGAUAGUCCCGUAUGCGAAAAACAAACCUUAGCUAGCAGUAUCCUGAGUAGGGCGGGACACGAGGAAUCCUGUCUGAAUCCGGGUCGACCACGAUCCAACCCUAAAUACUAAUACCAGAUCGAUAGUGCACAAGUACCGUGAGGGAAAGGUGAAAAGAACUGAGGUGAUCAGAGUGAAAUAGAACCUGAAACCAUUUGCUUACAAUCAUUCAGAGCCCUAUGUAGCAAUACAGGGUGAUGGACUGCCUUUUGCAUAAUGAGCCUGCGAGUUGUGGUGUCUGGCAAGGUUAAGCAAACGCGAAGCCGUAGCGAAAGCGAGUCUGAAUAGGGCGCUUAGUCAGAUGCUGCAGACCCGAAACGAAGUGAUCUAUCCAUGAGCAAGUUGAAGCUAGUGUAAGAACUAGUGGAGGACUGAACCCAUAGGCGUUGAAAAGCCCCGGGAUGACUUGUGGAUAGGGGUGAAAGGCCAAUCAAACUUCGUGAUAGCUGGUUCUCUCCGAAAUAUAUUUAGGUAUAGCGUUGUGUCGUAAUAUAAGGGGGUAGAGCACUGAAUGGGCUAGGGCAUACACCAAUGUACCAAACCCUAUCAAACUCCGAAUACCUUAUAUGUAAUCACAGCAGUCAGGCGGCGAGUGAUAAAAUCCGUCGUCAAGAGGGAAACAACCCAGACUACCAGCUAAGGUCCCUAAGUCUUACUUAAGUGGAAAACGAUGUGAAGUUACUUAAACAACCAGGAGGUUGGCUUAGAAGCAGCCAUCCUUUAAAGAAAGCGUAAUAGCUCACUGGUCUAGUGAUUUUGCGCGGAAAAUAUAACGGGGCUAAAGUAAGUACCGAAGCUGUAGACUUAGUUUACUAAGUGGUAGGAGAGCGUUCUAUUUGCGUCGAAGGUAUACCGGUAAGGAGUGCUGGAGCGAAUAGAAGUGAGCAUGCAGGCAU
rnacentral:rRNA from 1 species